rnacentral:lncRNA from 1 species
UUUUUUUUUGUUUUGAAAAUAUGUUCAUGUUUUAGAAAAUUUUAUUCUGAAAUUUUUGAUAUAUAAUAUGUCUAUAUAAAAUGUUCUCUCUUUUUCGUUUAUACGUUUUUGUUCUCUGUUUAAAAAAAAACUGUUCGUUCGCAAAAAAAAAAACGAAGGCCGCUCUUGGCCAUACUACUCAUGUGGCCGGNNNNNNNNNNNUAAAUUUGUUCGUUCGCAAAAAAAAAAAAAAACGAAGGCCGCUCUUGGCCAUACUACUCAUGUGGCCGGCCGAUUCCUUUGGCCCAUGAGACACCUUUGUCCCUCUUUUUUUUUCUAUUUUCCCUACACUACGUAUAUGUUUAGUCCCACAUCGCCUACCUAUGGACCAUUAGACCUCCCUUUCACCUAUAAAUAUAGACCCAUAGGAGCUUCCAAAAAUCAUCUAUUUCGGGUUAAAUCAAUCUUUUGGUUAAAUCAACCUUUUCUCGAAGUCGUCUCCUCUUUGGAAUUAAUUCUUACUCUGCAUUCUAAAGGUAUUUCUCUUCGUAUUNNNNNNNNNNNNNNNNNNNNNNNNNNNNNNNNNNNNNNNNNNNNNNNNNNNNNNNNNNNNNNNNNNNNNNNNNNNNNNNNNNNNNNNNNNNNNNNNNNNNUCUUGAUGUAGGAGAAAACUUGCUUUUCGCUAAAAACUUACAACACCAGCCAUAUAUGCAUAUAGUAUAGAUGAUUACUUUUCACCCCUCUCUUGUGUGACUUGCCGGCAUAUUCAAUAUGGUGACCUACACGGUUGCAACGUCUUAUGUUGCAGAUAUUUUACUUCGACGAGUAAGAGUACGAUUCAGGGUUACGGUCUACACUCAACUUGCCAUUGGUGUUUAUUGGGACUCCACUCCCUUGACUGCUUCCGCUGAGAUAUUUAAGGUAUAUAUUGGUUUUACGCUAUUUACAUAUGAUUGCAAUUUGAUAUAUACAUUGAUGUACUGUGUUUGCCAACAUACUGAUCCAGGGAUGGCACAGAUACACAGAGGCUUGACUCGUCUUGAGUCGGGUCGCUACAAAAAUGGUAUCAGAGCACAUGUUGACUGUAGGAUGUGACCCUAGAAACUGGAAAUUUCUUAGGAAAGGAUCUCUCAACAUUUCUAUUUUUCAAGAACACCUUUUACUUCUCAUCUCUUCUGAUUUCANNNNNNNNNNNNNNNNNNNNNNNNNNNNNNNNNNNNNNNNNNNNNNNNNNNNNNNNNNNNNNNNNNNNNNNNNNNNNNNNNNNNNNNNNNNNNNNNNNNNACAUCGACGACGACGAGUAGCUGGUGUCCCAGCUACGAUCUGGCCCUAGGUUGGGUCUGUAGUAUAGUCAGGCCAUGUGCCUUCUAGUUUCACCUGUCUGUACUGAGACAGUUUAAACACUUCCGCUGGCUUGUAACUGAAUGACUGUUAUGAGGGGUCGUGAGACCCUUACCGUGUAAUAUUAUGUGUGUGGCUCUUUCGAGCCUCUUAAAUAAAGCUUGUAUGUUUAUGGUUAUGUUGUGAUGCCAUCGAUGUAUCUAUACAUAUCGGUAUGCCAUGCGUACGUGUGUCAUGCUUGAUAUGUAUGGGGUUCGAUUACCUAGCCGUAGACUUUAGUAGCGUUUUGUACCGGGAAAUGCCCCUUUGUGAUCCAACGAGCCAUGGUAGCUCGCUACUGCUCCGGACACAUUGGUUGACCGGCAUGUGUCCUUCUUAGCUGCUCUGUCUGUCCCCUUUGGGGAAAUGUCACGCGAUGUAAUGGAGUCCUUGUAUCUUGCUACGACCCAUCUACAUUCGCUGGUGACUGACACCUGCUUUGGUGGGUCAUGUAUGCGUGUCCGUGUGCAGAACUUCCACUUUCGUUUAUGACUAGACAUGUCGAUCCAAGUUCUGUGUCAUUGGAUUGCUAGCGACACAAUUGCAUACGUGAGUCAAAAGGUGCAAACGGUCCCGGCUAAGGUAAGGUUGCAGCCGUGGGGUUAACCAUGCAUGAGACCGCAAAGAGAUGUGAUGUCUUACAGGCUGGAUUCCUAUGGCUUAGGAUCGGGGUCCCAACACCUUCAUCUCUAGAGCCAUGAGCGUUACUUUCAGGCGGGUAUCCUCGGGCCUGCAUCCUUCAUACAAUGGAGUAACCGCGUCUAUCUCCAGUUGAUCCAGCUUGGCUUUCUCUCGGACGGCAGCUCUUGCGUUUUCCGUCUGCUUGAGAAGCAGCUCUUGAAUAUGAGGGUCCUGCACCCAGGCCAUCGAUGGUCCAUCAUCGUCUGCUCUGGCAUCUUCAUCUUCAUGAUCAUGCCCUUCGUCUGCUCCGGCAUCUUCCUCAUCAUCAUGUCCGGCAUCUUCUACAUGAUGAUUGUGUCCUGGAGAUUCUUCGUCUUCUCGCCCGCCCUCACCGCGGUUGUCUUGCUCAUGCCCUUCCUCAUUUCUUGCCCACCCCCCAUGGACGACUUCAUAAUCAUCUUCAUCACCUUGCCAUCGAUAGCCAUCCAUGAAACCACGCAAGAGCAGGUGGUCCCGCACGUUUACGGAAUCCGGGUCCAUAAGGCUCUUCAGCUUGCAUCUUCGACACGGACAUCUUAUCUCCGUCUCGUUCUUUCGAAGCAUCUCGGCCUUCGUGGAGCUCAAAAACCUAUUCACGAUGCCUUCGGUCAUCGUGCGGACCAUGGUCGCCUACGGGGUAGAGCAAAACGAUAUUUUAGAACCAAAAAAAAUUUGGCAUGACUUUGCCUAAAAAUAGGACAAAAAAGAAUGCAUAGUGCCAAAUUCUCGCCGAAACAGAAAUGAAUCAACAUUCCGGCAAAAUAUUGGCAACUAUCGCAUUUCAAAUACCGGUACCUGCAAACACAAACAUAUAUGCAACACCACAAACAUACGCAACACCACAAACAUAUGUAGAUCUAGCUAGGCCAUAAAAAGUGCAUGUGCACGUUGUUGGAGGGAGAAAAAAGUAGAUCUACAACAUAAAAGCUUUCCCCUUACUUACCUAUCAAAAAAGGUAAUUUAACCACUUAAUUUGGGUGAAUCUAUUAUGCAAAUGAGGUGAGGAGGAGGAGGCACCCGAGACAAGCUUGGAGGAGGAGGUGGAGAGAAUGAAAGUGGGGAAAGUGAGUGUGGUAGGUGGCUGUCCAAAAUAUCUAGCUGGUCCCAAGUUACUAAUGGCGCACCUAAUGGCGCACCACCUACAUAUGCGCCAUUAGUAACCCUGGUUACUAAUGGCCCACCAGCUGGUGGUGCGCCAUUAGUAGUUUUGCAAAAAAAAAUAUAGUAGUGGCGCACCAUCUACAAAUGCGCCAUUAGUAACCCUGGUUACUAAUGGCGCACCAGCUGGUGGUGCGCCAUUAGUAGUUUUGCAAAAAAAAAUUAUAGUAGUGGCGCACCACCUACAAAUGCGCCAUUAGUAACCAGGGUUACUAAUGGCGCACCAACUGGUGGUGCGCCAUUAGUAGUUUUGCAAAAAAAAAGGAUUGGCACACCGAGUGUGUGGUGCGCCAUUAGUGUCCAUCACACUAAUGGCACACGUGCACAUGGUGCGCCACUUCUAUAUAGUACUGGCGCACUACUUGUGUGGUGCGCCAUUAGUGUCUAUAUCAUCUAUAGCCCUUUUCCUAGUAGUGCUUGCUUCUUCUCUUUCUUCUUCUACGUAGCUUAGACUCAUCCAACCAAGACAUACUUAGCUAAUUAUCCUCCAAAAUGACAUAAUUAGCUUAGUUAGGUAAAAACAUCAGAAGAACCUUGGUUAGCUCAUUAAAAUGACUAAUUUAGGUCCAAAAUGAAAUAAUAAGCUCAAAAUGGCAUAAGAACCUUGCUGAGCUCAUGAAUAUUAUAUACUUAGCUUGGCUUCCACCUAAAUGACAUANNNNNNNNNNCAAUUUAGCUCGAAAAUGCCAUAAUAAUCAUAGUUGGCUCCAAAAUGACAUAUUUUACCCAAGUUAGCUCUAGAAUGGCCUAUACUUAGCUUGGCUUCCACCUAAAUGACAUAAUUAGCUUAGUUAGAUCGAAAAUGGCCUAUUUAAUAAAAAAUGAUCUAUACUUACCUAAUCAAAAAAUGCCUUCUUCUCCUUCUUCUCAUUCUUCUUCUUCUCCUCUUCCUUAUCCUUCUCCUUCUCCUUCUCCUCCUCCUCCUCCUGCUCCUCCUUCUUCUUCUUUCUCUUCUCCUUCUUCUUCUCUUNNNNNNNNNNNNNNNNNNNNNNNNNNNNNNNNNNNNNNNNNNNNNNNNNNNNNNNNNNNNNNNNNNNNNNNNNNNNNNNNNNNNNNNNNNNNNNNNNNNNAGGCCAUGACAUCCUGCGGAAAGCUUCACCCAGGCUCAAAGAGACGGAUGGAUAUUUCAAGACCCAAGGCUUACCUGCAUAGCCACAAGUCAUUAUGGGCUCUGGCUUGGUUGGACAACGCGGAGACUCUGGAAAGGCGGUGCUAGCAGAUGUAGAAGAACGGUAGGAAUGGAUGGGCACCGNNNNNNNNNNCUGUUUUGGUUGGACAACGCGGCGACUCUGGACAGGCGGUGCUAGCAGAUGUAGAAGAACGGUAGGAAGGGAUGGGCACCGACAGGGAUUCAGAGGGACCCAUUGAAAGACCAUGUUUUGAUCAUCCGGUCUUCAAACACCCUGAGGUGCAAGGACAUACACGGAGGCGAUGAAAUCUUGUGGGGAACGUGUGCGAAACUCUGCAGAGUACUCAAACCUAAUCGAUUAGCCGUGUCCACGGUCNNNNNNNNNNACACGGAUUCAUAGGGACCCGUUGAAAGACCAUGUUUUGAUCAUCCGGUCUUCAAACACCCUGAAGUGCGAGGACAUACACGGAUUCGAUCAAAUCUUGUGGGGAACGUGUGCAAAACUCUGCAGAGUACUCAAACCUAAUCGAUUAGCCGUGUCCACGGUCNNNNNNNNNNNNNUUGCAGAGUACUCAAAACUAAUCGAUUAGCCGUGUCCACGGUCAUGGACAACUUGAGGCAAAGGAACUGAAGUUAUCUGGAUUUCUCAACACCAUUAAAUAUAUUUGAUGAGGGUAAUUAUUGACAACAUGGGUACGAGAAUUGGUUGGUGGAACCAUCUCGUUAACAACCAACAAUGUAGUAACGUUUUGCUUUUAGCCCUUUAUUGAUGUAGGAGAAAACUUGCUUUUCGCUAAAAACUUACAACACCACCNNNNNNNNNNNNNNNNNNNNNNGCAACAGUUUAGUAACAUUUUGCUUUUAGCCCUCUCUUGAUGUAGGAGAAAACUUGCNNNNNNNNNNNNNNNNNNNNNNNNNNNNNNNNNNNNNNNNNNNNNNNNNNNNNNNNNNNNNNNNNNNNNNNNNNNNNNNNNNNNNNNNNNNNNNNNNNNNGGGAGAGGAUCAAGUUGGCCAAACGAAACCCACAACUCAAAGAGAAUUACAAGGAUACAAAAUCAUGCAUAUAAGAGAUCAGAGGAGACUCAAAUAAUAUUCAUGGAUAAUCCGAUCAUAAAUCCACAAUUCAACGAAUCUCGACAAACACACCGCAAAACAAGAUUACAUCGGAUAGAUCUCCAUGAAGAUCAUGGAGAACUUUGUAUUGAAGAUCCAAGAGAGAGAAGAAGCCAUCUAGCUACUAGCUAUGGACCCGAAGGUCUGUGGUGAACUACUCAGGCAUCAUCGGAGAGGCAGUGGUGUUGAUGAAGAAGUCCUCCAUGCCCGAAUCCCCCCUCCGACAGGGCACUAGAACAUGCCCCAGAUGGGAUCUUGUGGAGACAGAACCUUGCGGCGGCAGAAAAGUAUUUUCGUGGCUCUCUCUGGAAGUUUUGGAUUUUUAGGGAAUUUAUAGGCGUAACAAUUAGGGCAAAGGAGCCAUGGGGAGCCCACAAGCCUGGUAGGUGCGCCCCUCGAGGCCGCGGUUAGGGGGCUUGUGGCCUCCCCCGGAGUCCUUUGCCUUGGUUCUCAAUUUCCCUGCGUAUCUUCUGUUACGGAAAAAAUAUUUCCGAAGGUUUUAUUCCGUUUGGACUACGUUUAAUAUUCUUCUCAGAAAAGGGUCAAAAACACGGAAAAAGCAGGAACUGGCACUUGGCACUGAGUUAAUAGCUUAGUCCCAAAAAAGAUAUAAAAAUGCAUAAUCAUGCAAACAAAACAUCCAAAGUUGACAAGAUAAUAGCAUGGAACCAUAAAAAAUUAUAGAUACGUUGGAGACGUAUCAAGCAUCCCCAAGCUUCCUACUCGUCCUCGAGUAGGAAGUGAUAAAGACUGAAUUUUUAUGUGGAAUGCUACCUAACGUAUUUGUCCUUUGUAACUUCUUUCUUGUGACAUGAAUGUUCAGAUCCGUAAGAUUCAAAACAAUAGUUUACUAAUUACAUGAAAACAAUAAUACCUCAAGCAUACUAGCAAAGUAAUCAUGAUCUUUUGAAAUAACAAGGCCAAAGAAAGUUAUCCCUACAAAAUCAUAUAGUCUGUCUAUGCUCCAUCAUCCCCACACAACGAAUUUAAAUCAUGCACAACCCAGGUAUUGGCCAAGUAAUUUUUUUCGCACUCUUACUUUCUCAAACUUUAUCAACUCUCACGCAAUACAUGAGCGUGAGCCAUGGAUAUAACACUAUAGGUGGAAUAGAGUGUGGUGGAGGUUGUGAGGCAAAAAGGAGGAUAUGGUCACAUUGACUCGGCGUAUCAACGGGCUAUGGAGAUGUCCAUCAAUAGAUAUCAAUGUGAAUGAGUAGGGAUUACCAUGUAACAGAUGCACUUAGAGCUAUAAGUGUGUGAAAGCUCAAAAGGAGAACUAGUGGGUGUGCACCCAAUUUGCUUGCUCACGAAGACCUAGGGCAAUUUUGCCGAAGCCCAUCAUUAGAAUAUACAAACCAAGUUAUAUAAUGAAGAUUCCCACUAGUAUAUGGAAAUGUCAAAACAAGAGACUCUCUAUCAUGAAGAACAUGGUGCUAUUUUAAAGCACAAGUGUGGAAAAAGAUAGUAGCAUUGUCCCUUCUCUCUUUUUCUCUCUAUCUUUUUUUGUUUCGGUUCUUUGGCCUCUUUUCAUUUUUUUGGUGGGCAUCUUUGGCUUCUUUUUUUUAUUACCUCACAUGGGACAAUGCUCUAAUAGUGAUGAUCAUCACACUUUUAUUUACUUAAAACUCAACACUUAGAGCAAUGAUGACUCUAUAGGAAAUGCCUCCGGCAGUGUACUGGGAUGUGCAACGAUCUAGCUUAGUGUAUGACGUUGAACCAUCUCGCUAGCUAUCUUACGAUCAUGCAAUGGCAAUAUGAAAGUGACGCACAAGUCAUGAGAUGGAACGGUGGGAGUUGCAUGGCAAUAUAUCUCGGAAUGGCUAUGAAAAGGCCAUAAUAGGUAGGUAUGGUGGCUGUUUUGAGGAAGGUAUGUGGUGGGUUUGUGCACCGGCGAAAGUUGCGCGGCACUAGAGAAGCUAGCAAUGGUGGAAGGUGAAAGUGCAUCUAUACAACGGACUCACAUUAGUCAUGAAGAACUCAUAUACUUACUGCGAAAGUUUUAUUAGUAAUCGAAACAAAGUUAUAAAUGCAUACUCCUAGGGGAAGGGUUGGUAGGUAUUAACCAUCGCGCGAUCCCGACCGCCACACAAAGGAUGACAAUCAAUAAAUCAAUUAUGCUCCGACUUCCUAACAUAGCAGUUCACCAUACGUGCAUGCUACGGGAAUCGCUAACUUCAACACAAGUAUUUACAGAUUCACAAGACCCUACUAAUAUAACUCUAAUAUCACCAAAUCCAUAUCUCAAAACUAAUUGUGAGGAAUCAAACUUCUCUCUCUAAUGAAUGCACAUGAAUAUGAAAGUUUUAUUAUAUCUCUUUGGAUGCCUAUCAUCUUUAGGACUCUUUCAUGGCACAUGCCAACUACCAAGUUACUCAGAGAGAGCACUCUCAAAAAGAUAUAAGUGAAGAUCGAGAGUUUUUAUUUCUCCAAAAUAUGACACCGCCGUGCUCUAAAAAGAUCUAAGUGAAGCUCAAUGAGUAUUCUAGCAAAUUCACGAUGAGUGGAUGUCCCUCUCAAAAAGGUGUGCAGCAAGGAUGAUUGUGACACAACAAGAAGAAAAGACUCCUAUAAUACACGACGCUCCAAGAAAAACACAUAUCAUGUGGUGAAUAAAAAUAUAGCUCCAAGGAACGUUACCGAUGGAUUGAAGACGAAAGAGGGGAUGCCUUCCCGGGGCAUCCCCAAGCUUAGGAUUUUUGGUGUCAUUGAAUUUGGCUUGGGAUGGCUUGGGCUUCCCCAAGCUUGAGCUCUUUCCACUCUUUAUCCCAUUGUCCAUGAGAACAGCACCCAAAACUUGAAAACUUCACAACACCAAACUUAAACAGACACUCGUGAUAUCAUUAGCACAAGAAAACAAACCACUACCUCUUUAGGUACUAUAGCAAACUUGAUUUCUAUUUAUAUUGGUGGUAUAUUACUGUAUUCUCACUUUUCCAUAGCUAGUAGCCCCCGAAACUAUCCAUAGUUUCAUCAAAAUAAGUAAUCAACACAACAAAACCAGAAUCUGUCAAAAAAUAGACCAGUCUGUAGCAAUCUGUAUACUUCGUAUAAUUCUAGUAUCUCAAAAAUUCUGAACAAUUACGACAGUUAGGGCAAUUGGCAUAUCAACCAGAAGCAAAAAGAAUCAACUCAAAAUAUCUUUCGGGAUAGGAAUUAAAAAUAAUUUCGUGAGCGGAAAGUUUCUGUCCUUUUCAGCAAGAUCAAACAACCAUCACCAAAACUAGUCAUAAAGGUUUUACUUGGCACAAACACAAAGAGAAACACAAAAACCACAAUCAUAACAGAAUUAUAAUGAUGUGGACACAACAAAACAGAAAGCAAAAAGCAAAGAUAGAUUCAUUGGGUUGCCUCCCAACAAGUGCUAUUGUUUAAGGCCCUUAGCUAGGCACAAGAAGAUAGAAUCAAGUAUCGUCAUCUUUCGUGCUCAAACCAUAAGUAGACUUCAUCAUGGAUUCAUAAGGCAAUCUUAUUUUCUUUCUAGGAAAGUGUUCCAUGCCCUUCUUUAUUGGAAAUUGAAAUCUAGUAUUCCCUUCCUUCAUAUCGACGAUAGCACCAAUAGUCCUAAGGAAAGGUCUACCAAGAAUGAUGGGACAUGUCGGAUUGCAAUCAAUAUCAAGCACAAUGAAAUCCACAGGUACAUAGUUCCUAUUUGCAAUAAUAAGAACAUCAUUGAUCCUUCCCAUAGGUUUCUUAACAGUAGAAUCCGCAAGAUGAAAUUAAGAUAUCACUCAUCAAUCUCGUUGAAGCCUAGAACAUCACAUAAAGACUUUGGAAUGGCGGAAACACUAGCACCCAAAUCACACAAAGCAUUGCAUUCAUAGUUUUUAAUCUUGAUUUUGAUAGUAGGUACCCACUCAUCAUGAAGUUUUCUAGGAAUAGAUACUUGCAACUCAAGUUUCUCUUUAAGAGAUUUCAUCAUAGCACCAACGAUAUGAUUGGUAAAGGCUUUAUUUUGGCUAUAGGCAUGUGGAGAGUUUAGCAUGGAUUGCAUCAAAGAAAUACAUACAAUCAAAGAGAAAUUAUCAUAAUUGAAUUCCUUCAAAUCCAAAGUAGUAAUUUCAUCACUACUCAAAGUUUUGAUAUCCUCUACUCCACUUUUAGUGCUUUUAGCAUCAAGGUAGAUAGACUCCGAAUCAUUGAGGCAUUUUUCAACCAAAGUGGAUUCAUAUCCAGCCCCCUCAUCAUUAGUUUUGACAUUAGAAAACAAGGAUUCAAUAGGAGUCACACCAAGCACUAUAAGAUCUUCGUGAUUCUCAUCACAUAUUUCAGGUUUAGCAGCCAUUUUAUUGACUAAGGUAGCCUGUUUAUCAGAAAUCUGGCCUACCAAUUUUUCAAGACGAGCAAACUGAGAAUUUAACGCAAGGAAUUAUUUGGACAUAUCAUCAACCUCUUCAUUCAUGAAAGCCAUAAAAGAAUUUUUCUCCCUUAGUUCUCUACGAUAGUAACUACUAUGAUCAAACUGUGUAGACAUGAAGCCUUUAACACUAGUUUCAAUCUCUUCCAACCUUUUAUAGUAAGCAUCAUAAUCAUUUGGUUGGGCCAUACAUGUCUUAGCAGGCAGACAAGCACACAAGCGAACRAAAAAAAAUGAAAGAAAAAGGGCGAACGWAAAAAGGCAAAUAGUAUUUUUGAAAUUUUUGUUUUUCGGAACUCGGGGGAGAGGAAAACGAGAGGCAAAAAGGCAAAAAAGUAAAUGCAAGACAUGAGUUUGUGAUAGUUCCUUGGAUAAGCUUCACUUAGAAUAGUCCCGAGUGCCAGAAAUUGACACAUUGAAGGGAGACUAUUCCUGACAUGAUACUCCCCGGCAACGGUGCCAUAAAUUUUUCUUGCUACCUCUUGAGCUUGCGUUGGUUUUUCCCUUGAAGUGGAAAGGGUGAUGCGGCACAGUAGCAAUAAGUAUUUCCUUCAGUUUGAGAACCAAGCUACCAAUCCAAUAGGAGUAUCAAGACAAGUCACCAAUGUAACUGCGCAAAAACAAACAAACUUGCACCCAACGCUAUAAAGGGGUUGUCAAUCCCUUCACGAUUUACUACAAGGUGAGAUCUGAAGGUGGAAAGUGCAACAAAGGAAAAGUGUAGAGCUGAAAAUAUGAUGUGAAGUAGAUCCGGGGGCCAUAGUGUUCACUAGAGGCUUCUCUCAUGAUAGCAAGUAUUACGGUGGGUGAACGAAUUACUGUCGAGCGAUUGAUAGAACCGCGCAAAGUCAUGAUGAUAUCUAAGGCAAUGAUCAUACAUAUAGGCAUUACGUCCGAGACAAGUAGACCGAUACAGUCUGCAUCUACUACUAUUACUCCACACAUCGACCACUAUCCAGCAUGCAUCUAGUGUAUUGAGUUCAUAACAAACAGAGUAAUGCCUUAAGCAAGAUGACAUGAUGUAGAGGGAUAAAUUCAUGCAAUAGAUAUAAACCCCAUCUUUUUACCGUUGAUGGCAACAACACGAUGCCUGCCUCGCUACCCCUUCUGUCACUAGGUGAGGACACCGCACGGUAUGAACCCAAAACCAAGCAUCUCCCAUUGCAAGAAUUAUAGCUCAAGUUGGCCAAACAAAACCCACAACUCGAAGAGAAUUACAAGGAUACGAAAUCACGCAUAUAAUAGAUCGCAGGAGACUCAAAUAAUAUUCAUAGAUAAUCUGAUCAUAAAUCCACAAUUCAUUGGAUCUCGACAAACACAACGCAAAAUAAGAUUACAUCGGAUAGAUCUCCAUGAAGAUCAUGGGGAACUUUGUAUUGAAGAUCCAAGAGAGAGAAGAAGCCAUCUAGCUACUAGCUAUGGACCCGAAGGUCUGCGCUGAACUACUCACGCAUCAUCGGAGAGGCAAUGGUGUUGAUGAACAAGCCCUCUGUGUCCGAAUCCCCCCUCCGACAGGGCACCAGAACGUGCCCCAGAUGGGAUCUUGCGGAGACAGAACCUUGCGGCGGCGGAAAAGUAUUUUCGUGGCUCUCUCUACCAGUUUUGGAUUUUUAGGGAAUUUAUAGGCGGAAGAAGUAGGGCAAAGGAGCCACGGGGGGCCCACAAGCCUGGUAGGCGGCCCCUAGGCCGCGGCUAUGGGGCUUGUGGCCUCCCCGGAGUCCCUUGCCUUGGUUCUCAAGUUCCCUGUGUAUCUUCUGUUACGAAAAAAAAUCUUUCCGAAGGUUUUAUUCUAUUUGGACUCCGUUCAGUAUUCUUCUGUGAAAAGGGUCAAAAACAUGGAAAAACAGGAACUGGCACUUAGCAAUGAGUUAAUAAGUUAGUCCCAAAAAAGAUAUAAAAUAGCAUAAUCAUGCAAACAAAACAUCCAAAGUUGACAAGAUAAUAGCAUGGAACCAUAACAAAUUAUAGUUACGUUGGAGACCUAUCACCCCCACCUAUUUAAGGGGGUCUUCUUCCCCAAUGGUUCCUAUCUUUUCACCUCGUGUUUUCCCUCCAUUGUUGACCCUCUUAGAGAUUUCUAACUCUCAAUCCCUCCAAUGAUUCUUGCUUCUUUUGAGGGAAAAUAGAGAGGAUAUCUAGAUCCACAUUUUCACCAAUCACUUUCUCCUCUAUGUGUGGGUAACACCUUGAAUCUAGGUCUUGGAGUUCUUUGUGUUCUCCUUGUUCUUCCUCUCAUAUUCCUCCAUAACUUUUCUUGUGGUGGUGAGAUUUCAGAGUGAGGGAUUUGACCACUUCGUGUGUUUUUAUAAUUGCAUUAAUUUCAUCGGUCCGAGUUCUCGAUGGCGGUAUGUGGAAUUGAAAAAUUGAGAACCUUAUUACCCUUGGGUAUUUGGGAACCCUAGAGCUUGUGCCUCUCAAGUGCUUGCGUGCCCCGGUUGUUGGUGUCUCGGAGCUCAAUCAUUGUGGUGUAAAGCUCUGGACAAGUGUCAUAGGCUUUAAUUAAGUCGUGGAGAUUGCAUGGAUCAAUUUGUACAGGUUCCAAUGACCGCACCCAAGUGUUGCCAACUAUACGGGUUCACUUAACACCCCAUGGGUCGCUAUUUAUACACGUUAGAUGACUGCCCUUAAGGGUCCCCUAGUGGAAUCAUGGCAUCUUGCAUUGGUGCAACGGCGUGAGGAGAUUACGGUGGCCUUAUUGGCAUCUUGGGGAUAAUUGUGCCUCCACACCAUUCCAAACGGAUAUUAGCAUCCAUAAGGGCGUGAACUUUGUUGAUCACUCCUUUUAGUUGAUGCUAGUUGGUUUACUUGGUGAGAGAUCAUUUGUUCAGAUCCUUCAUCAUAUUCAUUACACAUCUAAUCUUGAACAUGGUGAUUAUUUGUGAGUAGUUUCUCGAGGACAUGGGAUAAGUCAUGUCAUAUGUAAUCAUCUGAUGUUGGUAUUUGUUCAAUAUUUUGAUGAUGCGUACGUUGCUCUUCCUUUAGUGGUGUCGUGUGAAUGUUGACUACAGGACACUUCACCAUAUUUGUACCUAAGGAAAAGCAUUGGGGAUUAAUAAGUAGAUGAUGGGCCAUGAGUGUGAUAGAAGCUUAAACCCUUGUUUAUGCAUUAUUACGCAAGGGGCUGAUUUGGAUCCAUAUGUUUCAUGUUAUGCUUAAAUUUGUGUUAAUUCUCCUUUCAUAGUUGAUGAUUGAUACGUCUUCAACGUAUCUAUAAUUUUGAUUGUUCCAUGCUAUAAUGUAAUCAUUGUAGGAUGCUUUUUGGGCAUUUUUUUGCUAGUUCAUAUUAUUUUUUAGCACUAACUUAUUAACCUAGUAACAAGUGUGAGUUGUUGUUUUCUACAUGUUUUUGGCUUUUCAGAUUUAUAGUACCAAACAGAGUCCAAAUACCACGAAAUGUUUUGAUGAUUUUUUAUGGACCAAAAGAAGACCUAGAAGCUUUGGGUGAAGGCUAGGGGCCACACAAGGGACCCGCAAGCCAAUAGGGCGCACCCAGGGGGCUGGAUGCGCCGUGUUAGCUUGUGGGCCAUUCCCAUGUCUCCCGACCUUGUUCUAUGUCUUAUAAAUUCUCAUAUAUCUGAAAACUCUAAGGGACCUCCCGAAACACUUUUUCCUCCUCUCCAAGUCUGUGUUUCGCCAUGUGCCCAUGUGGAGCCCCGUUCCUAUGGCUUACCAGAGGGGUAUUGAUCACGGAGGGCCUCUACAAAAAGCUUGCUGCUCCCAUGGUGAUGUGUGAGUAGUCUGCCACAAACCUAUGAGUCAUUAGCUAGUAUCUAUAUGACUUUGUCUCUUUCUAUGUUCGUAAAUACAAAGUUCAUCACAUCUUCGCAAUGAUCUAUGCAAUGUAAUCUCUUUGUGUCGUGCAUUUGUUGGGAUUCAAUGAAUUGUGGGUUUAUGUUCAAAUUAUUCAUGAUAAAGAUUUGAGUCUUCUUUGAAUUAUAUGAUUCUUAUUUUCAUGAUUAUUAUAUCUUCGUAAAUCUCUCUGAUUUAUUAAUUUGGUUUGGCCAACUAGAUUGAGCUAUCUUCAAUGGAAGGUGUGCGUUGUAGUGGGUUCAAUCUCGCGGUUCUUAGUCCGAGUGAUAGAAAGGGACAUGGAACAUAUUGUUAUUGUUGCUGCUAAGGAUAAAACGACGGGGUUCACUCAUAUUGAUUGAGUUUACUUUGUCUGCAUCAUGUCAUUGUUAUCCAAGCAUUACUUUGUUUUACAUAAUACUCUAGAUGCAUGCUAGAUAGCGGUCGAUGGGUGGAGUCAUAGUAGUAGAUGCACGCAGGAUUCGGUCUAGUUGCUUAUGGACGUGAUGCCGGCAUGAUCAUUUUCGUGAAUAAAUAUUGUAUAAUUAUGCGCUUGUCUGUCAAUUGCCCAACAGUAAUUUGUUUACCCACUAUAUGCCUUCUUCGACACAGAUGUCACUAGAGAACACUAUGCCCCCCGGGUAUAUUGACUUAUAAAUUUACAAAUGCUAGUAUUACCUCACUGCUUUUAUUUACUUUUUUUUUAUUUUUACAAAUCUAUAUUUAUGAAACUAUCAUCUACACUACUUGUCUACUUGUAAGUAACGAGUUCUAGGGGCUUGAAACCCUCUUGCCCGUGUUGGGUGCAAGUAUUUGCUCUUUUGUGGGUAAGUGCUGAAGACGGUAGGUCCUCCCAUUGCUUCGAUAACCUUGGUUCUCAUUGAGGUAAAUACUUAUCUAUAUUGUGCUACAUCGUCCGCUCCUCUUCGUGGAAAAACCCAAUGCACAUCACAAUUAUCACGAAGGAUUUCUUGUGCCUUUGUCGGGGAUUAUCACCAACUUACUAUCAAGUACCUUAUGACAAAUUAGCAAUCACUUGUUCUACUUUUUCUUUGCUUUUAUAUAUUUUUUUGCUAUAAAAAUAAAAAGUACAAAACUAUUUACCUUUGCUAGUUUGCUUAUUUGCUUGCUUUAUUUACUAGUUGCUUACUUGAAAGUUAUUAUCAUAUCUAUGUUUGAAAUUGUUGGGGAACGUUGCAUGGGAAAUAAAAAAUUUCCUACGCACACGAAGACCUAUCAUGGUGAUGUUCAUCUACGAGAAGGAGACCGGAUCCACAUACCCUUGUAGAUUGCUAAGUGGGAAGCGUUAAGAAACGCGGUUGAUGUAGUGGUACAACUUCGUGAUUCAAAUGACCAUCGUCCCACGAUCCGUCCCGAUCUAGCACCGAACAGACGACACCUCCGCGUUUAGCACACGUAUAGCUCGAUGACGAUCUCCGCCUUCUUGAUCCAGCAAGAGAAACGGGUAAGUAGAUGAGUUCUCCGGCAGCGUGACGGCGCGCCGGUGUUGGUGAUGAUCUAUUCCUGCACGGCUCCGCCCGAGCGCCGUAGAAAUCCGAUCUAGAGGUGGAACUACGAGGUAUAUGUUUGAGUUGCACGUGGCAAAAGUUGUGUCUCAAAAGCCAUAAAACCACCAAUAUAUAUAGGAGGAGGGGAGGGGCUAGACUUGGGGCUCAAGGUACCCCAAGGGCGCCGGCCGAGAGGAGGAGGUGGACUCCCACCCCAAUUCGGUUUGGGGAAGGAGUCCACUCCUUCCAUCCCACCUCCCUCUUUCCUUUUUUUUUCUUUCCUUUGGUUUUUUCUUCUUGUGGUGCCAUAGCCCACUUGGGCUGGCCUCACCAACCCACUAAGGCCUAGUGCACCACCCUAGUGCUAUUGGGCUCACUCCCGGGUGGGUGGCCCCCUCCCGGUGAAAACCUGGAACUCAUUCAUCACUCCCGGUACACUCCUGCAAAUGCCCGAAAUCUUUCCGUUGACCAAAUGAAACCAUCCUAUAUAUUAAUCUUCGUUUUCGGACCAUUCCGGAAACCCUCGUAAUGUCUCUGAUGUCAUCCGAGACUCCAAACAACCUUCGGUCACCAACACAUAUAACACAACUAUACUAAAAAGUCACCGAACCUUAAGUGUGCAGACCCUGCGGUUUCGAGAACUUUGCAUACAUGACCCGAUACACUCCUCGGUCAAUAUCCAAUAGCGGCACCUGGAUGUCCAUAUUGGAUCCUACAUAUUCUACGAAGAUCUUAUAGGUUGAACCUCUGUGCCACAUUCCCUUUGUCCUUCGGUAUGUUACUUGCCCGAGAUUUGAUCGUCGGUAUCCCUAUACCUAUUUCAAUAUCAUUACCGGCAAGUCUCUUUACUCGUUCCGUAAUACAAGAUCCCGUGACUUACACUUGAGUCAGAUUGCUUGCAAGGCUUAUAUGUGAUGUUGUAUUACCGAGUGGGCCGCGAGAUACCUCUCUGUCACACGGAGUGACAAAUCCCAGUCUUGAUCCAUGCUAACUCAACAGACACCUUCGGAGAUACCUAUAGAGCACCUUUAUAGUCACCCAGUAACGUUGUGACGUUUGAUACACACAAGGUAUUUCUCCGGUGUUAGUGAGUUACAUGAUCUCAUGGUCAUAGGAAUGAAUACUUGACACGCAGAAAACAAUAGCAACAAAAUGACACGAUCACAUGCUACGUUUAUAAUUUGGGUCUUGUCGAUCACAUCAUUCUCCUAAUUAUGUGAUCCAGUUAUCAAGUGAAAACAAUUGCAUAUGGUCAGAAAACCUUAACCAUCCUUGAUCAACUGGCUAGCCAACUAGAGGUUUACUAGGGACAUUGUUUUGUCUAUAUAUCCACACACGUAUCUAUGCUUUCAUUCAAUACAAUUAUAGCAUGGAUAAUAAACGAUUAUCUUGAAAUAGGAAAUAUAAUAAGAACUAUUUUAUCAUUGCCUCUAGGGCAUAUUUCCAACAGAAAUCAGUGGUGGUUCCACCUCUAGUGUGGAAGCUCUUGAAUACUGAACUUCACCUUAUAAUGAGAAUGCUAAAAUAAAUUUUUAUGAAGUUGCUAAAGAAAAACAUGAUAACCUUGUGGAUGUUGAUCCUUCUAAUGGAGAACCUAUUCUGCAAACAAAGAAAUUUCACAUAGGUAGCGGUAAUAUUAUUGGGAAACAUAUAACUAAAGACUUUUUCACUUGUGGGGGAUCAUUACCCUUGAUAGGAGUAUCUAUUCUUGCUAGAACUACUAGUUAUGUGGAUGCUAUAUCUUUACUCAUAGUUGAAUUAGAAAGACAAUUCGUUCAUAUGCAUCCCUUCAUACAAUGGUUGUUUUUAGAAUUAUCUAAUAUUCAGGAUGCUCCUACUAAAUGUUUAGCAACAAUAUUUCUCGUUCGUGAGUUAAAUCACAUUAUGUAUCAACCUAGAGAAAUAUUUUCUCAUUAUAGGGUUAAUGAUCAGUGCCCACCUAUAGAAGGACUUCUUUAUGAUUUGGAAGAAAUAAGUAAUGUGAGGUCAACUUAUUAUGUUGCUUAUGAUGAAAAGCUUAAAAAAGGUUCCACCUAUUGUCCUAGUUGAUAAGAUUUCCUAACAUAAUGAUCAAUUUUUAUACCAAAUCUUGGAUUGGUUCAUGUGAUUGAGAGAGAAUUAAGGAAAUACCUCUAUCAAAACUAAUACAAUGAGGAAUUGACUAUCACUUAUGAAAAGUCUAAGGAGGAGCCUUCUAUUCCUCCCAAGAUAGAUCUCACCGACCCUCGUGUUGUGAAGUUUAAUCGCUUCAAUUACUUUUGCUUACCUAUUAGAAAACUUGCUGUUGAGAUAAGGGGAUAUGAUUAUAGCUCUAUGAAGUUUUCUCAUGAUUACUACAACACUUGAUCAUAUGCAUUAUGCCUAGCUAGGAUCGCAAAACAAUGGCGCUAGUUGGGAGGCGACGCGAUAGUUAUCUUAUUUUUCUUGUUUUACUUUCUCUUUUUGUGUCAUAACAUUAUUAUUUAUACUAUAAUGAUUUUGUUUUUUGAAAUUAGUGUUUGUGCUAAGUAAAGCCUUUGGAAUGAUUUGAAUGAUAAAUAGAAUUGAUAUUGUGCAAAAACAGAAACUUCUGCGUCUAGUGCAAAAUUUAUUUGAUUUUACUUGAAUGUAUUUUUGAUAUGACUAUUUUACACAGUACUUUUAUACAAAUUGCUCAAGCGUACCAUUUUUUCUUGAAUUUUUGGAGUUACAUAAGUAGGGUGCCUUCAUUCAUCACUACAAACUAUUCUGUUUUAGAUAUAUUCUCUUUUUCUUACAUAGUUUGCUUGUUUUGAUGAUGUUAUAGACUAUAUCAGGGGGUAUAAGUCAUGGACAAGUUAUAAUAUAGUACCUUAUGCAAUAAUAUAAUAUGAAUCAAUUUAUAAUAGUACCUAAUGUUUAUGGUUCGCCUAUCCUACUAACAGAUCUGACAAGUUUCUGUUGAGUUUUGUGUGCUGAAGUUUUCAAGUUUUGUGUGUUAUCACAAUAGAUGAAGAAAUAAGGAGCAGCGAUAGCCUAUGCUUGGGGAUGCUAAAGGUACCCCAAGGUAAUAUUCUAGGAACACUCUAGCGCCUAAGCUUGGGGAUGCCCCGAAAGUCAUCCCCUCUUUCGUCUCAAUCCGUUGGUAUGCCACUCGGAGCUAUAUUUUUAUUCAUCACUUGAUAUGAGUUUUGCAUGGAGCGUCAUUUGCUUUAGUUUGCUUUUGUUUUAGUUUUCCAAAAUCAUUUUUUGCUGGACACACCCACUUGAGAGAGACACGUGUUCACCAGGAUUUGUUAAAAUAUUGUUUGUGCUUCAGUUAUAUCUUUUGAGCUAAGCAAUUGCUCUAGUACUUCACUUAUAUCUUUUAGAGCAUGGUGGCGUAUAAAUUUUAUAGAAAUAAUUGCACUCUCGUUCUUCACUUAAAUUUGUUUGAGAAUUAUUAAACGUCAACAUUAAUUUUCUUGGGUUAUAAGACUAAUCCCAAAAUAAUAGGUAUUGAAGGAGUGCAUAAUCAAAACCACAUGUAGCACAUGGAAGAGAAAUUGUGGGUUAAUGAUAUUGAUGUAGUAAUAUGAUAGGGUAUGAUUGCAUGAUUGUUGGUUAGUAAAAAUAUUGAUAAAUAAAGUAUGCUAUUUUUUGUUCAUCUAAAUAUUGGUUAUGGCAUGGUGAUGAUGUGUGAGCAUUCUUAUUCCUCGUUGAAAUCCUGUGUUGCUUAGGUCGCAGCCGCAUGGUUAACUCCUACCAACCUCCCCCCUAGGGGCAUGAAAGUAGUACUUUGCCUCGAUAGAGCUAAUAAAACCUUGUAUGUGAGGUAUUUGUGACUAAUGUGAAUCCAUGGAUGUACGCACUCUCACCAUUUCAUAUUUUCUAACCUCUUGGAUACCGUGCAUCACCCAUUUUCAACUCGAGGAUCGGUGCAAUCUUUGCGAGUUCAUCCAAACCCCGCAACAUGAUACGCUAUAUUGCACAUAAUCCACCUUAUAUAUUCCCCAAAACAGGCAUCGUACCUACCUAUCAUGGCAUUUCCAUAGCCAUUCCGAGAUAUAUUGACAUGCAACUUCCAUCAUCACAUCAUAUUACUAGUAUGCCCAUUGUCAUAUUGCUUUCCAUGAUCAUGUAUCUAACAGUAUUUUUUGCAGAGCCACCGUUCAUCGUUAUCAUACAUGUUAUGCUAGAUCAUUGCACAUCCUGGUAUAAUGCAAGAGGCAUUCAUAUAUAGUCAAAUUGUUUAGUCGUUUUUCAUAUCAAGGUGUAAGUAAAUAGAAGUUUGAUUCUAUUCAUUAUUUAGGGCACUAUCUCAGUGAGGAAAGGAUGAUGGAGACAAUGAUUCCCCCACAAGUCGGGAUAAUACUCCGGACAAAAACCAAAAUAAAAAAUAGAACAAGAAAGAAAAAAAAGAUAGAGAAAAAGGAAAAAUAAUAAAUAAAUAAAUAAAAUGAGAGAAAAGAGAGAAGGGGCAGUUGUCGUGGUUUUGUCACGACAGAUGUCCUCAUGAAAGGACUUAGUGAUGGAGCCAUAGCACCUUGGUGGCGACUCAAAGGGGGUAAGCGGAAGCGAGACUCAGGUUUACCCAGGUUCGGCCCCUCCUAUGGAGGUAAAAGCCUACGUCUUGCUUUGUGUAUAUUGAUGGUGGAUUCGACUACAAGGAGGGCGUAACUCGCCUGACCUAGCUAUUGAUGGAUUCUAACUUAACCUAUCUGCCCUAGAGAGUCGCCUUUAUAUGCAGAUCGAGGCCCUAGGGUUUACAAAGUCCUGGACACAUUACAAAUCAUGGUGUGCAAUAUCUCUAAGCCACCGUGUCUUCCAAGCUAGGAAACCUCAUUGGCGACUUAUCUUCUCUGUUAACCUUGAACCACCAUCUGGCUCAUGGGCCCUGGCCGGCUCUUUGUUGAAGUUCUCGUGACGCAUCUCAGACCCCGGGCCAAGGCUUAUCUUGAUCAUGAAUGUUGAAUCACCGUUUACCUGACCCGGCCCAAUAGGGCGGGUCAUAACACAGGUAAUAUCCCCAACAUUAUGCCCCAGAUUGACUUGAAUUUGUUCACGCCAAUAAAUGUUCACGCUUAUCUAUGGCGAUUCACGCUUGACUUGAAUUUCAACGAGUAAUGAGGCGCCAAUCUUCUUGUCGCCUGAGUCGUCAGGUCUUUAUUGAUGAUGUCAUCUCCUCCACUAUUUCAGCGAUCUGGAUGAUAUCACUUCCAACGGAUCUUUUGUCUUACACUGUCAUCCCGAGAAUCUAGGCGCCAUCAUUUCCGGUUUUCAAUGUGCCUCCUUGACUCCUGCGCCUGCUAUUUCCAUUUAUGCCCUAGGUCUUUAAAUAGCCGCAGGGGGAGAGGGGCAUUCCCACCUACCUCUAUUCCACCGCCUCCACUGCGUCUUCUUCCUUGAGUUCGCGUCACGAACAUAGUGCCACCACCGAACCUCUGCUUCGGCCGGCUAUUUCUUGGGCAGAUCUAGGGUGUGGUCUUUGGCGCAAACCUCUGCGGCCUGCUUCCGUCAUCGCCUUCCCUCAGCAAGUAAGUCCUUCUCCUCGAGUAGAUCUAAUUCUCGAACAUCCCCAGUCCUUAGGGUAGCACCAGAACUCCAUGAGCAUUGGCUCAUCGCGCCAUUGACCCGUAUGGGCACGGUCUUUAGAUCCUUCUUUUUAGCAAUGAAGUGCGGUAAUCCCGUCAAUAAUCCUUGGCAAAUCUGUUGUCCCCCCCAUUGUUCUACGCGACCAUCAUACUGCUCCAUAGUGUCCCUGUGUUCUUAGCGUUUUUAUUUCGCUAAGUUUAUUUCCUUAAUAGAACCACCUGUAGAUCCAUAAACUUUGUCUUCGCAUUAGAAACAUGUUUAUCCUCGAUUAGGAAUAUCCUAAGGAAAUUUUUAAAAUUGCAACCCGCCCUCAAUGCUGUGGCGAGUCACAAUUCCCCUCUAGACAUGCUCUCAGCUGCUGGCCGGUGAGUUACCAUUUCGUAGGUCCUAACGACCCGCCAAUCCUUCUUAUGCAGAUCUCUGCCCCUCCUUUUAAGCUUGUAAUCAUGGGUUCCAUAUCCAAGUGCAACUGGUUGCCAACAGAAGUUGAUGACGCUUAUGUUGCGAACUUUGUGAAAGUGGGCAAUCUUGCACCUAAAGAAACGAUCGGCUAGCGAACUACCCUAGGAGAGCAACGUCCACAACUCGCCGAAGGGGAAGUAGUCAUUUUUGCUGAUCACCUCGAGCAAGGCUUCACACCGCCCAACUCAAAGUUUUUUAGGGAUGCAUUGCAUUUCUUCAACCUCCAUCCCCAAGACUUAGGGCCAAACUCCAUCAACAACCUUUGCCAGUUCCAAGUGUUCUACGAGGCUUACCUGCAGAUAGAGCCUACUGUACUUUUGUUCAGGAAGUUAUUUUAUCUGAUCCGCUAAACAGAGUUUGCCAAUGGGCCGUGCCUAGAGCUGGGGGGAGUCAACAUCCAACGACAACGAGAAUGCAGGUUCCCAGCUGUUGCAUUACCUAGUCAUCCCAAGUGUUGGGCAAAAACAUGGUUUUACUGCCACGACACUUCUCCACCCAAUGAGAACCCCUUACCGGGUUUCAGGGAGGAACGUCUGCCCAUGGAUUUCAGGUUGCCUGAAAAGCUAACCGAAGAAGAAGAAGCUUCAUUCGUCCCUGUCUUCGCAAAGCUCAGGGCUCUUACCAUCAAUGGUCUCACCGGGAUCGAUCUGAUCCGCUGCUGGGUGGAGUGGAGAAUUAUGCCUUUGAGCCGCCGAAACGACUUAAUGUGUGAAUUCAAUGGCCACUUGAACCACCCUCAAUGCUUCUAUAACGUGAGGCUUGAAGAAGAAGAUAUUGUUGAAAUUGUGAAGAAGUUAAGUGGCGAGCCUGUUGAGAAUUGCUCCAAAAUCGGGCUAAAACCUUUCUGCGUUUCUAACCCGGCUCCAGAGGUAAAACAUCCCAACUCGCCAUUCUAGCUUUUUAAUAUACGCCUUCUUGUUUCUGAUCUAGGCUUUAAUUAUGUCAAUCAGAGGGGCUCGGCCUUUUGGAACCGAAGUCCCAAGACAGUCGUCAAUAAAACGACCAAACCCGCCCCGAAGAAAAAUAAAAACAAAGGCAAGGCCACUUCAAAGGAGUCAUCCAUUGUGGGCGAGUCUCGGGCCGCCGAAGAACAAUCAGAGGUAAAUGCUCUUUGUCUUUAUUUCUUUAACUCUGACUUGUACUCAUGCUUUGCUAUCUAUAUUUAUAGGAUGAUGAAUUUGAGAGCCAAGAUGAAGACGUCGUGGUAAUUUCCAUUUCUUCCGAUUCAAACUCUUCUCCUCCCAAGCCGGCAAGAAGAAUCUAUAGGAAAGUUCCACUGUCUCACUCGGAUGCUUAUCUGGAUCCAAAUUUCCUUUUGAAGAAGGCGAGUUUUAUGCCCAAGCAUCAUACUCGAAGCCACUCUGGGGACCUUUUGUCCGGCUUGCUUGAGAAAAUGACUAGUCGUAAACGACAAAACGAGGUACAUUUUAUAAAACAUCCUUUCUUCCUGUUCAAACCAUUCUUGCGAUUUACCCAAUCUUUCAAUCCUACAUCCAAUAGGUUUCACCUCCUUCAUCUGGCGACUCAGCUGCCUCAACUCUUCCCCCAUUAAUCCUUCUUCAAGGGUAAGUUUCUUCAUUAACAUGUUGCUUCAGGUGUCAAUGUUUAUAUUCUAACAUUUGUAGAAUCAUCCCGUAGGGCUCAAGCAAAGUAGAGGAAAACCGGCGAGUCAUCUUCUGCUCCCAAGGCGGCUGAAAUAUUUGGAAUGAGCACCUCCAUCUCAGAAGCUCAAGACGAGCUAGCUGAGACUCAUGUCGAUGCCUUUGAUGAUUUCCCUGACAUCCGGGACGAGCUUCCAAGUCCUCAAAAGGAGUUAACUAAAGACCUCAACCCACCCAGUUCUCGUAAGGCAGCUGAAGACGUGACACCUGACCUAGAUCAGGUCGUCGUCACUGGUACCGUUUAUUCUAAGCCUGCAACUGCGGUUUUAACCAAGCAUGCACCCAAAGACGCCCAAGUCUUUGCAAAAAAAGACAGCCCCAAACUGAAGCUUCCUAAUUAUGAGAAAUUGGAGUUUGAUGAAUUGUACUCUGGUUUUGUGAGCCGCCUGGAGACGAGCCAUGAAAUGGAAAAGAUCUUGGUUAACAUGAUGCAAAGAAAACAUGAGUUAUGAUACCUUUUAACAUUCUUGACAUGUCCUCCCAUUAGCCCUCCAAAGGGCGAGUCAUUCAUGAUGAAUCGUGCUUUGUGUAAUCUUUCAACGUGUAGCCCCCAAGGGCCGGGUCAUCUUUUUAAAGAUGAGCCAGGUCUUUAGUUUGUAUUUGAAGAAAAGCGUCAACCUAUAGCCCCCAAGGGCCAGGCCAUCUUUUUAAAGAUGAGCCGGGUCUUGUAGCUUAUACUUUGAAGAAAAUCUUUAACCUAUAGCCCAGAAGGGCCGGGUCAUCUUUUUAAAGAUGAGUCGGGUCUUUAGUUUGUACUUGAAGAAAAGCUUCAACCUGUAGCCCCCAAGGGUCGGGUCAUCUUUCUAAAGAUGAGCCGUGUCUUUAGCUUAUAGUUGAAGAAAGGCUUCAACCUGUAGCCCCAAGGGCCAGGUCAUCUUUUUAAAGAUGAGCCGGGUCUUUAGCUUAUACUUGAAGAAAAGCUUCAUCCCGUAGCUCCCAAAGGUCGGGUCAUCUUUUUAAAGAUGAGCCGCGUCUUUAGCUUGAAGGUCCUACCUUAGAAAAAAUGAGUCGUACGUUUUCCCCAAAGUGUGGGGGAUGUUGCUUGCAAUGAUCCUGAAACUUGCUUUCCCUGAUGUUUUUGUAGGAAUCAUUGACUCGGGCCGACUCAACUAUGGCCGGCUUGAAACAAAGCCUGGAUGAACAGCAGGAUGCUUGAGCUAAAUUUGAAGAGAGGCUUCGCCUUGCACUGGCUGACAUGGAAAAAAUGAAGGCAGAGCACAAAGAGUUUGAAGACAAGGACCACACGGAGCAAGCUGCCUUACUGAAAAAGGGCGGAACGGGCCUAAGAGAAAAUGAAGGCCGCCGUGCAAGAGUUGUCCGGGCUAAAACAUUAUAUCUCAAAGAUGGCCUAUGCUGUGUUCGGUAAGUAUCGAUUAUUCCCUACUGGAUGUGUGUUGUAUGACCUUCCGUCGACUUAUGAUCAUGCCUCUUUACUGCAGGUCCUCGAGCCGCCACUCUUCAGAAUGAUUGUAUUUUGAAGUUGAACGCAAUCUAUACUUUGACAGAGCAGUUGUACACUUGUGGCGUGAUGACUAUGAAGGCCGUCAUGGGUAACAAAGAGCCCAUAAUAUCCAUCAAGCAUAUAUUGGGCUGUUUGUCCAUGCUGCCACCCCAGAUAGAGGAGCUGAAGAGGUCAACCGCCCGCAAAGGAGCACUAACCACCUUAAGCCGGAGCUUGGCCUAUGCUCUAAAGCUUAAGCCGGAGGAAAUAACUGAGGGAUUUCCAGAGCUGAAAGACGACGUGUCAGAGUUGACCGAAGAGGCUUACCAUCGCCGUGUAAAAGAAUCUCGUUUCGCGGCAACUCAACUGGUGGUCGUCCUAGAUUUAGGCAAAUAACAGGCGUAUUGUGAUGAGCACAGCAAACGAGUUACUCCUCCUUCAUAUGAAAUCACCGUCCUGACUCCGUAGCGCCGUAAGCAUCCUUUUGACUCUGAUGCUGAUCUGUCCACCAUAUUGACUGACGAGGACGAGUUCCAUGCCUUGACCAAUUGCAAUUGGAAAUUGGGCGGCUUACAUAUCCAAGAUGGUGAAAGCUCGAGGCAGGAUAAUCUGGAGGCAGCUUGAGUUAGGAGUGACGUGAAGAUCACCGGAAUUUAGUUUGAUCAUCCAAGGCUGGGUUAUGUCUCUUGAUAUGGCCUUCUGAGCCAUGUAAUAGUCUAGAGAUUGAAACAAUAUUAUGAUAUAACUGUACCUUGUGAUGACUUUAAAGUCUCACCCUUUCAUUAAUAUGAAUCGCCUUGCCAGGUGCUUUUGCCAUGUCUGACAGAUAAUCUCUUUCCCUAUUUAUGUGAGAAGAAAAAAUAAGCCGGCUCAAUGAGUCGCGGCGGUUUAGAAUGGAGUUUUUAUGAAACUCUUUGGCCAUGCUACAAAGAUACUUUGUAGUCAUAAAGGUUGUCGGCUCAAUGAGUCACGACAGGGUAGGACGAGUUUGCAAGACUCUUGUGCUACCCCAGGAAGGCUUUUGCAACAGCCUGAGUUAUUUAGACCGGCUGAUCAGGCGCGAGUCAAGCUUCAGUGAAGCGGGUUCAGUGAACCCAUGGUUUUUCUAUUUUCCUUAUGGCGGCUCCUGCUAGCACCCUUCAUGUUUUAACCUAAGCAUGUUCAGGGUCCAAAAAGUGGAUUGACUCACCAAGAGUACAUGGGACCAUAGGGUGAGUCCAGUAUAACCAUUGUAAUGCAUUAAUUUUUCGCUAGCCAAGAGGGUAUUCACGCUGAACUCAAUGAGCACAAGCCCCCAAGUGACCUAUGAUUAGGGAAAAGCCAGACAUAGGAUUACAGAAGCGCUUACGCUCUUACUGCAAAACAACUUGGAAUCUAGUAGCCCCCAAGUAAGCCGUCUUAAUUCUCAAAACCAUAUAGGAUGCUUAUGUUUGAACCGUGCAACAUGGCAACUUUUAUCCUCUUUAGCAUACCAGCAUCCAGUUUUGAAAUAAGCGCAGCAUGGUGACUUAUGCUCUUUGAUUCUAAUAGCGUCCAUGCUUAGAGAACUUAUGAAACAAUAAAGACUCAUGCUCUCAAGAAGAUGAAAUGGCAGAGACCCCGAAGUUCAUGGGCACCGGCUUUAUUGAUUUAUAUAUAUAUAAAGAGAUUACAAUGACUAAAUUAUGUACACAGAUAAGGAGCCAGUGGCUCUAAGUAUAGUAAGGUCGUAAGUGGGCAAUGUUCCAAGGCCGGGUUGUUUCAACCUCUGUUGUUGGCCUACCUAGGCGAAGAUCAACCAGGUAGUAGGAACCAUUGUGAAGACUCUUGCUGACGACAAAAGGUCCUUCCCACGUGGGGGGGGGAUAACUUAUGCAUACCAGUAUGAUCCUGAAUCAACCGGAGCACUAAGUCACCCUCCUGAAAGACUCGGCUUUUGACUCGGUGGCUAUGAUAGCAUCGCAAGUCUUGUUGGUAAAUCGCUGAUCAUGGUGGACAUGAUGCUGCCAAGUCGCGUUCCUCCUCCAAAGCAUCCAACGAAUCAUGACGUGCUAGUUCAUUGUCUUUCUCUAUAUAAGCGGUGACUCGUGGCGAGUCGUGCCUGAUGUCACUUGGUAACACCGCCUCAACUCCAUAGACCAAGAAAAAGGGCGUAUAAGCAGUAGAUCAAUUAGGGGUUGUCCUGAUGCUCCAUAAAACCGAAGGCAGCUCUUCAACCCAACAUCCCAGAGUACGUUCCAGAGGCACCAUAAGUCGGGGCUUGAUCCCUCGCAAAAUUUCUUGAUUCGCCCUCUCCACCUGCCCUUUAGAUUGGGGGUGUGCAACUGCAGAGACAUCAAGCCGGAUAUGCUUUUUCUCGCAAAAUUCUUGCAUGACGCCUUUGAUAGAUUAGUACCAUGAUGAGUAAUAAUACUAUGAGGGUACCCGAAGCGAAAAAUCAACGUCUUGAGGAACUUGACAGCCGUGUCUGCAUCACAACUACUGAUUGGCUAUGCUUCAACCCACUUGGUAAACUUGUCAACUGCCACCAAUAGGUGAGUCUUUUUGUUAGACAACAUCUUGAAGGACAGACCGCAAAAGGCCAUGUAAUUGGGAUAAUCCGCAGUUCCUGAGCCAGCACAUGCAUCUGACGCCCAAAUUUUUGGCAUCCGUCACAUCUGCGUACUAUGUACUCAACAUUUUCAUGGGUUGUCAACCAGUAAAAUCCAUACCUAAAGGCUUUGGAUACCAAAGAGCAUGACCCGGCAUGAUGACCACAAUCACGUGCGUGUAUCUCAUUAAGAAUCGCACACCGUUCUUCAGACGAGACGCAUUGUUGAAAGAUUCCAGAAGUGCUUCGCUUAUGCAACUCGCCUUUAUUUAUAAUCAUGGAUUUGCAUCGCCGGAUAAUUUGGCGGGCUAGCAACUCAUCAACAGGUAACUCGCCUCGCGCCAGAUAUUCCAUGUAAGGGACCGCCCAAUCCGGAGUUGCACGGAGAGCCACCACAAGUUGAGACUCAAGCUCAGGAACCGCUAUAUCCUCCUCCGAAGGCAAUUUCACCGACAGGUUAUGCAAAACAUCCAAAAAGACGUUAUGGGGAACCGGCUUACGCUGCGACCCGAGUCGUGAAAGAGCGUCAGCUGCCUCGUUGAGUCAACAAUCAAUAUGAUCAACCUGAUAACCAUGAAAGUUACCCGUCACGUCUGACACGGCACACCUGUAAGCCGCCAUCAAAGGGUCUCUGGAAUCCCACGUGCCAGAGACUUGCUGUGCCACCAGAUCUGAGUCGCCCAAGCAUCUGACUCGACUGAGAUUCAUCUCUUUGGAGAUUCUAAGCCCAUGGAGCAAAGCCUCGUAUUCCACCGCAUUGUUGGUACACGGGAACAUGAGUUGGAGGACAUAGCAAAACUUGUCACCCUAAGGUGAGGUUAAUACCACGCCAAUCCCCGAGCCUUCCAGCUGCCUAGACCUGUCAAAAUGGAUAGUCCAAUACGUGUGAUUAGGUCUGUCUUCUGGAAUUUGCAACUCGGUCCAAUCGUUGUUGAAAUCCACUAAGGCGCGAGACUUGAUGACUGUGCGGGGCGUAUAUUUCACGUGAUGGGGACCAAGCUCAAUGGCCCACUUAGGAAUCCACCCAGUUGCUUCACAAUUUUGUAUAAUAUCGCCGAGCGGCGGGGAGCUGACUACCGUGAUAGGAUGCUCCUAAAAACAAUGCUUUAGUUUCCAACUUGCCAUGAAGAUCACAAAAACCAACUUCUGCUAGUGCGGAUAACUUUGUUUGGAGAGGGUCAAGAUUUCACUGAAAAAGUAUACCGACAUUUGGACCGAAUAUUCCUUUCCUUCUUCCUUGCACUCGACGACCACUACUACGCUUACUGCCUUAGAGUUGGCAGCAAUGUACAGGAGCAUAGGCUCUUUUUCAAUAGGAGCAGCUAAGAUAGGUGGCUCAGCGAGUUGUUUCUUCAAGGCCUCAAAAGCUUCAUUGGCUUCAUACGUCCAGACAAAACGGUCAGUUUUCUUGAGCAGCUGAUAAAGAGGGAUGGCCUUCUCCCCAAGGCGACUGAUGAAAGGGCUUAGAGCCGCAAUACGACCCGCCAUGCGCUGAACUUGGUUGAUAUUGGCCGGCUUGCCAAGUGAAGUAAUCGCCUUGAUUUUGUCCGUGUUAGCCUCAAUGCCUCGUUUCGACACCAAGAAGCCCAAGAACUUUCCUGCAGGAACGCCGAAAACACACUUGGUCGGAUUAAGCAUCAUCUGAUACACGCGCAACUUGUCAAAGGUCUCCUUAAGGUCCUCCAAGAGUGACGCUUUCUUCUGGGAUUUCACCACUAUGUCAUCAACAUAGGCAUGAAAAUUGCACCCAAUUUGACUCUGCAGGCAAUUAUGGAUGCAAGGUUGAUAAGUCGCCCCUGCGCUCUUGAGCCCGAGUGGCAUAAAUACAUAGCAAAAGGCUCCAAAGGGAGUUGUGAACGACUUCUUCUCCUGACCCUCCAAAGCCAUUUUGAUCUGGUGAUAUCCUGAGUAAGCAUCCAAGAAACACAGUCGCUCGCAAACUGCUACCUCUUGAGCUUGCGUUGGUUUUUUCCUUGAAGAGGAAAGGGUGAUGCAGCAAAGUAGCGAUAAUAUUUCCCUCAGUUUGAGAGCCAAGGUAUCAAUCCAGUAGGAGUAUCAAGAUGACGCACCAAUGUAACUACGCAAAAACAAACAAACUUGCACCCCACGCGAAAAAAGGGGUUGUCAAUCCCUUCACGAUUAUUUGCAAGGUGAGAUCUCAAGUUGAAAAGUGCAACAAAGUAAUUUUGUAGAUCUGCAUACAGGAUGUGUAGUAGACCCGGGGGAUAUAGUGUUCACUAGAGGCUUCUCUCAUUAUAGCAAGUAUUAUGGUGGGUGAACGAAUUACUGUCGAGCAAUUGAUAGAAUCGCGGAAAGUCAUGACGAUAUCUAAGGCAAUCAUCAUACUAUAGGCAUCACGUCCGAGACAAAUAGACCGAUACUUUCUGCAUCUACUACUAUUACUCCACACAUCGACCGCUAUCUAGCAUGCAUCUAGUGUAUUGAGUUCAUAACAAACAGAGUAACGCCUUAAGCAAGAUGACAUGAUGUAGAGGGAUAGAUUCAUGCAAUAUGAUAUAAACCCCAUCUUUUUAUCCUUGAUGGCAACAACAUGAUGCGUACCUCACUACCCUUUCUGUCACUGGGUGAGGACACCGCACGGUAUGAACCCAAAACCAAGCACUUCUCCCAUUGCAAGAAUUAUAGACCAAGUUAGCCAAACGAAACCCAUAACUCGAAGAGAAUUACAAGGAUACGAAAUCAUGCAUAUAAGAGAUCGGAGGAGACUCAAAUAAUAUUCAUAGAUAAUCUGAUCAUAAAUCCACAAUUCAUCGGAUCUCGACAAACACACCGCAAAAUAAAUUUACAUCAGAUAGAUCUCCAUGAAGAUCAUGGAGAACUUUGUAUUGAAGAUCCAAGAGAGAUAAGAAGCCAUCUAGCUACUAGCUAUGGACCUGAAGGUAUGUGGUGAACUACUCACGCAUCAUCGGAGAGGCAAUGGUGUUGAUGAAGAAGCCCUCCGUGUCCGAAUGCCCCUCCAGCAGGGCACCAGAAUGGUCCCCAGAUGGGAUCUUGCGGAGACAGAAGCUUGCGGCGGCGGAAAAGUAUUUUCCUCGCUCUCUUCUUUGGUUUCGGAAUUUUAGAGAAUUUAUAGGCGAAAGAGGUAGGGCAAAGGAGCCACGUGGGGCCCACAAGACUGCAAGGGGCGUCCACCCGGCUAGGGUGGUUGUGACCUCCCACAAGGUCUCCUGCCUUGGUUCUGAAGUCCCAUGCGUAUCUUCUGUUAUGGAAAAAAUCAUCCCGCACGUUUUAUUCCAUUUGGACUUCGUUUAAUAUUCUUCUCUAAAAAAGUUCAAAAACACGGAAAAAAUAGAAACUGGCACUUGGCACUGAGUUAAUAGGUUUGUCCCAGAAAUAUCAUAUUUAUGCAUAUAAAACAUCCAAAGUUGACAUGAUAAUAGCAUGGAACCAUCAAAAAUUAUAGAUACGUUGGAGACGUAUCAAGCAUCCCCAAGGCCUAUCUUGAUCAUGGAUGUUGAAUCGCCGUUUACCUGACCCAACCCAAUAGGACAGGGCAUACCACAGGUAAUAUCCCCAACAGUAGUGGCACUACCUCUUUUUCCACACUUGUGCCUCAAAGUGGGAGUUUUUCAUAUAGAGAGUCUCUUGUUUUGUCACUUUCAUAUGGUAGUGGGAAAUUUUCAUUGUAGAACUUGUGUUGUAUAUUUCAAUGAUGUGCUUCCUCAAAUGCCCGAGGUCUUCAUGAGCAAGCAAGUUAGAUGCACGCCCACUUAGCUUCAGUCCAUCUUUCAUGCACUUGUAGUUCUAGUGCAUCUAUUGCUUGGUAAACCCUAAUCCUCAUAUUGAUAUCUAUUGAUGGGCAUCUCCAUAGCACGUUGAUAUUCCGAGUUGAAGCGAGACUUUAUUCUCCACUUUUACCCCUUCGAGACCUACCACCAUAUUCUGUUCCACCUAUAUUUUAUGUCCAUGGUUCACGGUCAUGUAUUGAGUGACCAGUAAAAAGCUGAUGCACAUUAAAAAGUAUGAUCCAAUUGCAUGGCGAAACAUUGUGGUGCUUGACAUUUGUAUUUAUGUGGUGAAGACGGGGCCAUUCCAUGCUAAUAUGAGAAAAUUAAUGGGGAUUAAAUAUUAUUUAAGGAUCGUAUAUUUUGAACAUUGAAUGAUCAUGUUACUUAUGUUCAUGGAUAUUACUAUGUUGAUGUUUGUAGUUUCAUCAUUUCUUAAUUAUCACACCUCCAAGAGAUUACUUGUUGGGUAGCAUGUCACAUCAAAAAUUCUGUUUUUUUAUCAUUUACCUACUUCAGGACGAGCAUGAAUUAAGCUUGGGUGUGCUGAUGCGUAUCCAACGUAUGUAUAAUUUCUGAUUUUCCAUGGUAUAAUAUUACCAUUCUAGGAUACUUUUGGGGCAUUUCUUUGUUGAUUCAUAUAAUUUUUUAGCACUAAUCUAUUAACCUAGUGCUAAGUGGUAGUUGUUGUUUUUUGCAUGUUUUUGGCUUUUCAGGUUUAUAGUACCAAAUGGAGUCCAAUAACCACGAAACAUUUUGAUGAUUUUGUUUGGAUCAAAGAAGACCUCGAAGCUUCGGGAGAAGGACGAGAGCUACACGAGAGCCCCACGAGACAACAAGGCGCGCCCAGGGGAUGACGCUUCUUGUUAGCUUGUGGGCCACCCCCCAUAUCCCGAUCUCGUUCUCUGGCCUAUAAAUUCCCAUAUAUUCUAAAAACCCUAGGGGAGCUCCUGAAUCACUUUUUCACCUACGCAAAUAUCUCUCCCACCAUGUGCCCAUCUGGAGCCUUGUGCCGGUGCCCUGUCGGAGGGGGGAUCGAUCACUGUGGGCCUCUACAUCAAGCUUGUUGCUCCCAUGGUGAUGUGUGAGUAGUCUACCACAGACCUACAGGUCCAUAGCUAGUAUCUAGAUGGCUCUUUGCCUCUCUAUACACUACUGGAAUUGAGAAAUUUGUCGUCUGACAUGCCUUUGUCGUCUGCUGACGCAUGGCAAAGAUCCUCUUUGCCAUCAGCUGGCACAAAGCGGAGGGCAAAGAGGUUGCUGAUGGCAAAGGUUCUAUUUCCCGUCGGCGACCUCUUUGCCGUCUGCCAGCCGACGGCAAAGGCCCAUAGGCGGACGACAAAGGGGACGCAGACGGCAAAGGGGCGCCACCCUAACAGCCGAAGCCCGCCCCACCCCACCUACCCCUUUGUCGUCUGCCUCCCAUCCUUUGCAGACGGCAAAGGGGCACUCCUCCUAACGGCGCCCAGCCCCCACCCCCGCUCUCCUAACGACACACUCACCCUCGAUCUCCUGCCUCUCUCUUGCACGCCCCCUGCCCACUCAUGCGCCGCCACCACCACCACCUGAGUCGCUCCGGCCCACCACCGUCGCCCACGGCCGGAGCUCCCCGUGCUCCUCCUCCCCGCGCCCCUCCUUCCCGUGCCCCUUCUCCCUGCGCCCUGCCCACCCCAGCGCCACCGCCACCACCACCGGAGCCGCUCCGGCCCACCACUGCUGCCCACGGCCGAAAGUUGCCCUCCCCUCCUCCCCACGCCCCUCCUCCCCGCCACCUAGGGCCGGAGCUCGCCCUCCCCUCCUCCCACUGCCCUCCCCUUCGGGAAUGUAAAUAUGCUAAUGUACACCGUUUUAUAAUUUGGUGGUGGUGGUCUUUAAGAUCAGAUUUACACAUGGAUUCUUCCCAUGUCAAGACUAUGUAUUCGUCAAUGAUAUCAUAGCAAAGAAUCAUGAAUGGAGUGUUCUUAAGAUUAGAUAAGCCUGUUGACCAAUUUUUAGCCCUUUUCUUAAUUUCUUGAAUUUGGUGGCUAUGAUCUUGGCAGGAUCUUCUUCCUGUACUUCCUGGUCCCAUAUAUUCUUGACAAUGUCCUUGAAUUGUGAGUGUUCCAUCCAAUUGUUCUCAAAUCUGAAUGUAUUAGUAUUGGGGAUAGAAGUUCCAAUCUUAAUUUGGAUAGGGACAUGAUCAAAAGUAGUUUUGGACAAUGGUUAAGACGAAGUCCAAUGUUCGGGGACUAGAUGGGUAAGACAAAGUCCAAUGUUCUGAAGUGAAGCACCAAUCUAACUUUUCAAGUAAUGGAGCAACUUGCAUGUUGCUCCAUGAAAAUUUCCUUCCUUUAAGUACAACUUCAAUGAGGGCCAGAUCACUAAUGACCCCAAUGAAAAUCAACAUGUCAGAUAUGCUACCUCCAUCUCUGCUCCUGUUUCGACCCCUGACACCCGAAUCCCGACACCCGACGCCAAUGACCCCCGACCCCCGACGCCACUGACCCCCGACACCCGACCCUCGACCCCCGACACCCGACCCUCGACCCCCGACGCCACUGACCCCCGACCCCGACGCCCGACGCCACCAAGCCCCAACCCUCCACCCCNGAAACUGACCCCCGACCUCCGACGCCAUUAACCGCCGACCCUCGACGCCACCGACAACCGACAACACCGACCCUCGACAUAUUUUUUGAUUAUGUUAAUUAUUAAAACAUCAUAUUUGUGUUGAUCGGGUGAAUUUCAAUGUGCAGUUGUUCGAUGACCUCCACGUGCAUUGGACGAGCUCCACCCCUGCGUUUGUUGGUGAGCACAAAUGACUUUUCCUCGUACCCCCUUAAUUUUCUCUAUUCUGGUCUUCGUGCCGAUGAAACUUGCUAGCUAUAGGUUUCUUCAAUCAUGAGUAUGCGUGACCAAUAUGCAUCUCCCGUUCGAAAGGGCGACAUCUAUAAAUAUGAAUGUCUUUGCAUAUUUAUAACCGACAUCCUUUCGAAUUGUCCAACAUUAUCCAUGGACAGCCCGAGUAUGUGUAGAUUGGGUUCGUUUUCCCGUAUGUUGUGCUCCGGAUCCGAUGCGGAAUUUCGUCAGUGCCUCCCUGUUGUUCUCUGGGUACACAUCCUCUCUGCUUAUUGCCGAGAUGUGUAUCAGGAGAACAGCAGGGAGGUGCUGCCAAAAUUAUGUGUCACAUGUGGAGCAGAGCAUGGGAAAACAAACCCAAUCUACACAUACUCGGGUGGGAUUAGGACCUAUCUUUACCUAUUAGCGUGUAGGUUGCAUGGACGUAAUAAAACUUACAAACUCGAUUAGAGGAUGAAUAUAGAUGAUGAAUUAUAUAUUUAUUUCUUGUGCGCUGAUAGGUAGCUAGGCAACAUGAGUGAUCGUGCUUGGAUGUACACUAGACACCCUAGUCAGAAAGACAUGACCAAUGAAUGGUUAACAAAAACGAGGGGGUUUGUGAGAACCGAUUUGCAAAUGGCCAGCAAAAAACAUGGUGCCCCUGUCCCAAAUGCGACAAUAGGAAAAAGCAGACAGAGUUUGAAAUGGGUAAACACCUGCAGAAGUGGGGUUUUAUGCCUAAUUAUACAGUGUGGACUUUUCAUGGUGAGUCUAACAAACGUGCCAGUGCUGAGGUGAUUCGUCGUCGCACCGACGAGCAUGGUACCGGGAUCGAAAACAUGUUGCAAGACUUCGAUGAUGCUCGGUAUUCGGACAAUGAGAGGGAGGAAUCUGCAAAGGCCUUCUAUGAAAUGUUGGAGUCUUCAAAACGUCCUCUCCACGAGGAGACUGAGCUUUGUUAGCUGGAUGCCAUCGCAUAAGUAAUGGCUCUGAAGGCUCAAUUCAAGCUACGCAGAGAAUGCUACGACGCGAUGAUGACGAUAUUUGGAUGCUUUCUACCCAAGGCCAUGUACUGCCUACAAACAUGUACUAGUCAGAGAAAAUCCUCCGUGUAGUUAAGAUGCCCUAUGAGAAGAUAUAUGCUUGUGAGAAUGGAUGUGCCUUAUUUAGGCUUGAGUAUGCAGCCUUGAACUAUUGCCCCAUUUGCAAUUAUUCCUGGUAUAUUGUGGUAGACAAAGGUAUGGGUGAGAAGAAUCAGACCAAAAUCCCCAUGAGUCUUCUUCGGUAUCUGCCAAUCGUACCAAGACUUCAAUGUCUUUUCAUGGUCGAAGAAACGGCCAGACAGAUGACACGGCACAAAUUGGGCAAAAGAACGGAACUAGAUGUGGAUGGGAACAAGAUGCUGGUACACACUUCAGAUGGUUUUGCAUGGAGGCACUUCGAUGCAUUACAUAAGGAUAAAUCAGAAGAUCCAAGGCAUCCUAGAGUUGCCAUCACCACGGAUGGGUUCAAUGUGUAUGGUAUGACGGCAGCACAAUACAGUUGUUGGCCUGUAUUUGUCAUUCCACUCAAUUUCCCACCCGGAGAGAUUAUGAAAAGAAAGAACAUUUUCCCGACGUUAAUAAUUCCAGGGCCCAAUUAUCCAAGGAAGAAUAUGAAUGUGUACAUGCAGCCGCUUAAGGGUGAGUUGCAAGAAGCCUGGAAUAAUGGGAUCAAGACCUACGACGCCGCUACCAAAACAAAUUUCAAAAUGCAUGUGUGGUACAUGUACUCGACGCAUGAUUAUCCGGCGUUUGCGCUAUUCGCUGGCUGGUGUGUGCAUGGAAGUUUCCCGUGCACCACAUGCAAGGCAUCUCUUCAGUUCCGUUGGCUGCAGGCUGCUCGCAAAUUUUCUUGCUUCGACAAGCAUAGACAAUUCCUGGAUCCUGACCAUAAGUUCAGAAAAGACAAGAAGAAUUUCAUCAAAGGUAGAGUUGUAAAAAACACUGCACCAACUGCGUUGACAGGCCAACAGACCCUUGAUUAGUUAAACACUCUCGAGCCUGAUCCUUUGCAUCCAGGAUACUUCAAAGAGUACAAUACAGAACACGCUUGGACUCACAAGUCAUGCUUAUGGGAUAUGCCUUACUUCAAAGACCUCCUUUGCCCACACAACAUCGACGUGAUGCACACUGAAAAGAAUAUUGCGGAGGACAUUUUUGGUACAUUGUUUGGCAUAGAGGGGAAGUCAAAAGAUAAUCCUAAGGCUAGAAUCGACCUGGAGGCUCUAUGUGAUAGACUGUUACAAAAUUUGCGACAAUGGAAAGGAAAGGAAAGCAUAGCGAAGCCAAAGGCAUGGUUCAAUCUUGAAAUGCCAGCUACGAGGGAGCUGGAGGAGAGGACGACUGCAUUGGUGGAGGCGGAGAGGGCACGAAAUGAUGCAUCUAACAUGGCCAUAUACGAGUUCUUAGUGGUAAGUUUCUUCUUCAUAUUAUUUCACACCUUGCAUUUUAAUGUCCGUUUCAUUAAUAACUAAAAAGUUUGACUUGUCGAAACCAAAUGUACAGUCUAUGUGCGAGAAGACCGACCAAGUCCCUUCGGCGAUGCCAGUCAUUAACAUGGCGGGGACGGUGAGUUUCGUUUCAAUGUAAUGAUCUUAAGAGUGUCAUCAUGCUAACGACACAUUGCAAACGAUGUUUGGUGCAGAAUAUCUCCCGAAAUGCAUCGCACGACCCUUCUACAGUGGAGCCUUCUCCAGGGCAGCCUUCUCCAGGUGAAACAAGCCAGAGCCACCGUGCUUCACCGCCGUGAUGAUGAUAAUGGUAUGUUAUUUCUAGCGUUUUGCUUAAAAACCACAUAAUGGUCCAAUAUGGUUUAUUAAGCAUACUUAGCUCCAAAAUGACAUAUUUAACCCAAGUUAGCUCCAAAACGACAUAUAGUUAGCUUGGCUUCCACCUAAAUGACAUAAUUAACCAAUUUAGCUCCAAAAAGACAUACUUAGCUAACAAUCAGCUAUUAAAUAGCCUAAAAUUUGCUUAGCUGGCUCCAAAAUGCCUUAAUAAUCAUAGUUGUCUCCAAAAUGACAUAUUUUACCCAAGUUAGCUCAAAAAUGGCCUAUACUUAGCUUGGCUUGCACCUAAAUGACAUAAUUAGCUUAGUUAGCUCAAAAAUGGCCUAUUUAAUAAAAAAUGACCUAUACUUAGCUAAUUAUUCUCCAAAAUGACAUAAUUAGCUUCAAAAAGGCAUAAUUAGCUAAUUUAGCUCGAAGAAGAGGACAAGAGGAGAAGAAAGAGGAAAAAAGAAAAGAAGGAACAAGAAGAAUAAGAAGAGAAGAAAAAGAGAAGAAGAAGGAGAACGAGAAGGCGGAAGAAUAAGGAGAAGAAGGAGGACAUAAGCUCCUUCUCCUUCUUCUCCUUCUUCUUCUCCUUCUUCUUUUCUUCUUCUUCUCCUAUUCCUUCUCCUUCUCCUUCUCCUUCUCCUCCUCCUCCUCCUCCUCCUCCUUCUUUUUCUUCUCCUUCUUCUUGUCUUCUUCACUACUAGGAAAAGGCCUACUAGUGGCGCACUUGUUUUGGCUACUAAUGGCGCACUACAGGUGCGCCACUAGCAUCACGCCAUUAGAAUUUUUUACUAGUGGUGCACCACAGGUGCGCCAUUAGUAUCUGGUAUACUAAUGGCGCACCAGGAAGUGCUCCAUUAGUAUAGCUCGUGGUGCGCCAUUAGUAUGCCUCCCAGGGGCCAUAUUUACCCAUGUGCUCUGGCUUACUAAUGGCACACUAUUUGACGAUGCACCACUAGUGUGCUUUUGCAGUGCGCCACUAAAGUGUUGAGUGGUGCGCCACUAGUAAGAAUAUUAGGUUUUUUCUGAUAUUUGCACAGAUUACAAAACAUAUUAUUGAACAGAAUAUAGAGAGCACAACAUACAAAGAGCAGAUUUAUCGAAUACAAUAGAAGAUUAGUCUCCGAAUACAAUUCAUCGUAUUAGUCUCCGAAUUUAAAAUACCGAACAAAGUUAGAACAUUACAAGUCUCGAGACUGCGAGUAGCGAGUUUGUCUUCACAUUACAAGUCGAUAUCGAUCAUCUAAACUACCAUCACAUAGAAGAGAGUUGCAGUCAUCACGAUGAGCAUAAUCGCGAUGAAACUGGUCUUCAUCCGGUUCCUCCAACGCUCCCUCCUCUCUCCCGC